rnacentral:lncRNA from 1 species
CCAUCUCCUGCUGUGAGGUAAAAGUAGAUCAGCACCUGUGAAGAGGCUCUCCAUCACUGCAUGGCCAGAAAUGGCCUCUUUAAUCAGAACUUGGAGGGUAUUUCAGUUCUACAAGAGCCAAGAGUUUAAAGAUAUAAAAUAGUAGUGUGAAGGAAAGAAAAAGAAGUUUUUCUGUCAUUUUAACGGUUUUAAAUCUCACUUCAGUAGCAUUUUCAAGCUUAGAAGGUGAGAUGGAAGGAAUUCCAAAGUGUAGCGGCUUAUCUGAGCUUGGUCUCAAUGGGAAGGUUUAAUCCACUUUACAUAUCUGGUGACAGAAUUCAUGCGUAAUCUAGAAGAAAUGGGAAGAUGCUUUCUUCAAGCUAGUCCUCAUUCUGCCUUAUGGUAAGUCCUUUUUCAUUCAAAGUAGUUGUGUUUUCUUUCCAUGCCAUAACUUUGUUG